GACGAACGCUGGCGGCGUGCUUAACCCAUGCAAGUCGAACGGAAAGGCCCUGCUUUUGUGGGGUGCUCGAGUGGCGAACGGGUGAGUAACACGUGAGUAACCUGCCCUUGACUUUGGGAUAACUUCAGGAAACUGGGGCUAAUACCGGAUAGGAGCUCCUGCUGCAUGGUGGGGGUUGGAAAGUUUCGGCGGUUGGGGAUGGACUCGCGGCUUAUCAGCUUGUUGGUGGGGUAGUGGCUUACCAAGGCUUUGACGGGUAGCCGGCCUGAGAGGGUGACCGGCCACAUUGGGACUGAGAUACGGCCCAGACUCCUACGGGAGGCAGCAGUGGGGAAUAUUGCACAAUGGGCGGAAGCCUGAUGCAGCAACGCCGCGUGCGGGACGACGGCCUUCGGGUUGUAAACCGCUUUCGCCUGUGACGAAGCGUGAGUGACGGUAAUGGGUAAAGAAGCACCGGCUAACUACGUG
rnacentral:rRNA from 1 species